UACGAAGGGGGCUAGCGUUGUUCGGAUUCACUGGGCGUAAAGGGUGCGUAGGUGGUGAGGUAAGUCUGAUGUGAAAUCUCCGAGCUCAACUCGGAAAUGGCAUCGGAAACUACCUCGCUAGAGGUUUGGAGGGGGGACUGGAAUUCUCGGUGUAGCAGUGAAAUGCGUAGAUAUCGAGAGGAACACCAGUGGCGAAGGCGAGUCCCUGGACAACACCUGACACUGAGGCACGAAAGCUAGGGGAGCAAACAGG
rnacentral:rRNA from 1 species